ACUUAAUGUAUUUAUUUUUAAUCAUCUAAAAUAAUAGAUGGAAUGCACCCUAUAGAUUAACCGGAAGAAGAAGCAGAAAAGAAGGUGAUUCGAGAGCGGGAGAAGGAGUGAAGGAAACGUUUUAUAGCAAAAUAAAUAUACUUUAUUAGCUGCGUAUAAGAGGCUAAUGCAUUGCAGUAAACCAAACGUUUGCUGUUUAAUUUUACAAGAAAGAAAUCAGCUGCCGUUGUGUUUAUCGUGGCUUUCUACGAACUUACCUCGGGUUAAAGGAAAUGAACUGUGUUGCUGGUCAGAUGAUGAUGACUCUGGUUCAUUAUAAUAAUAAAGUCCCAAGGCGAAAGAGAGAGAGAAGCGCGGAUAAUAAAGUCAUUAACUUGAAGCAAACAGAGAUGUCGUCAUGGGCUGAUUCACACACUACUUUACACAGGACAGAUUCUGGAAUGACGUCUCCAUUGAAACUUCACCGGACGUGGCACAUUGAUAAAAAAUGCUUUAGCUGUAAAAAUACUGUUUCAACGUAAACUGUGUGUGUUUGUUUUCAAUAAAAGUUUUUUUUUAAUGCUCACAAUG